UACGUAGGCAGCGAGCGUUGUUCGGAGUUACUGGGCGUAAAGGGCGCGCAGGCGGCCCUUGAAGUCAGGCGUGGAAGCCCCGGGCUCAACCUGGGAGGUGCGCUUGAUACUCGAGGGCUUGAGUGCGGGAGAGGAGAGUGGAAUUCCCAGUGUAGAGGUGAAAUUCGUAGAUAUUGGGAAGAACACCGGUGGCGAAGGCGGCUCUCUGGACCGUAACUGACGCUGAGGCGCGAAAGCGUGGGGAGCAAACAGG
rnacentral:rRNA from 1 species